ensembl:lncRNA
UAAAUAUCAAAAACUGCAUUACACACUAUUCUCUGUUUUAUUUAUUUAUUUAUUCUUUAGUUUUUAUUUAUUAUUUUUUUGUUUUGUUUUACAUAAUUUUUCUGAAGAAUCUGAGAGGAUGGAAACAGUAGAACUGAGUUUUCUGACCUGCUUCGUCAUUUACAUGGUUUUCUCAUUUAGUGCUAUUAUCAAAUCGUCCACUGGGUGGCAGUGUAGCGUGCCGUGCUGUGAUGUCGAGUAGGCCCGCAGCAGAGGAAGAAAGUUUCCUUUUGUGAUGCCAGCAGAACGUGUGUUUAUCACUAUUCUGUUCCUCAGAUCACAUGUCCUCUGAGGAGAAACGCUUUUAUGUCUGCAUCAGCCACCUAUCCCAGAACAUUCUGCUGUACAGCCUGAUAAAAGAGGAGGAGUCCAAGAAGAAACUGGCCUAUCAGAGGCUACUUUCAACUUUGAACCAGUCCAGGGAUCAUACAGAGUGACAAACAGAAGAGAAGAACUUCUAAAUGAAGAUGUCAGAGAUGAAGCUGAUGAUAGAAGUGAUGAUGAUGAUGAAGAAGAAGACGUGAAAGAGCUGGAAGAACCUGCUAAUAAAGAGUAGGAGAAUGGAGAACCAAAAUGAAGAUGAAGAGUUUGCUGAUGAGGAGCAGGAGUCAGAGUUUCACCAUGAGACCAACAUUCUGAACAGAAAUGAGCAGGACGAAGCUGGACACUCUGUGCAUGAGGUCAACAGCCAAGGGGUGUCCACUGUGAGAAACAACGUACAGCUACCUCUACACCUGUGACAUCAUCAUCACAUCUCUGCUGAGGCUGCUCGCUGUUCUGGGAGCAGAAGGAGAAAAGAGAGGACUUUGACUCUCUGUCAUUCAUCGAGCUGCUUGUGGUGGAUCAUUCAGACAUCUUCCUCAUGCAGAACUGGAAACACGUCCUGGUAAGAGCACACACGUACUGUUGUGGUGUAAGAUAAUUGUCAAAGCAACGUAUUUAUAAAAGUA